UUUUGUUUUUUCAUGUUUCUCUGAUUGUUCUUGAUUCUUGUGGUCAUGCAUAGGUGUCUGCACAUUGAAGAAGUACUUAUUUCUGUCUUCACAGUUUGGCUUUGUCUGGGAAUGCCCUUCACAGAAUGCCUGUGAUUGCAGAGAUUCUGGGUAGGUCUCUAGCAUGUUUGCUAAGUCUGUGAUCACUGCAACUGUUGCAGUGCUAGGGAGUACCCUAAGCCCAGAACUGCUGUGGUUGGCACAAUGCUGAGUUGGAAUUGUCUGGCUGCUGAGGCUGGCAUACCAUGUGGCACAGCCAAAGUCUACAGCUGCUGAGGCCUGCCUGCUGCCGAAGUCUUUCUGAGAUCCAAGGCCAUUGUAGUCAGCCAGCUGUGGUACAGGCCAGAGAUUGAAUCCAUUUCACGGGGACUAUGGGUUCCCACCUGACACUGGGGCUCAGUCCAGGGUAUAAGACUGCAUUUAGGGACGAUGAGGGUCUGCCUGGUGCUGGGUUUUUCUGUGGUAGUCUCAGUGUUGGGGACCAAGGCAAAGUUCGAUGUUCACUUUCCUCUCUUUCUCCUAAGGGAAUGGUAUCUCUCUGUGUGCCGUGUUGCCUUGGACUUUGAAUCUUAUAGGACAUGCCUCAGGGCUUCUUCUGUUAGCUCUGAAACUUUGCAAACUACUUACUUGCCCCAUAUUGUACUGAAAUUAAUACUUCAUAUUUCUGGCUCCCCCCAAUUGAAUGUGAGCUCCUCUGGGGCAAAACUCUUCAGCACCCAGCCAUCCAUCUUUGACACCCAAAUGGAUGAACACGUAUUGCAGAAGAGACAGUCCGCAGCUAAGUGUGACAUCCUUAGCCUCCAAAUGGACAAACAAGUAAAAAAAAUGUUUUCUUCCUGCCCCAAGACUCUACAAAAGAUCCUCUGACCUGAUGACAAUGUGGCAGAGAUGGGUAAUGUUGGCAUUGUUGGUUUUGUUUUCUGGGCUACUUGGGAUCUAUUUCUCUUGACAUCCUUUGGUCCACACACUUUUUCUUGAGCUGGACUCUGGGC
rnacentral:lncRNA from 10 species